rnacentral:misc_RNA from 1 species
GAAAUGCGAUAAGUAGUGUGAAUUGCAGAAUUCAGUGAAUCAUCGAAUCUUUGAACGCACAUUGCGCCCCUUGGUAUUCCAUGGGGCAUGCCUGUUCGAGCGUCAUUUGUACCCUCAAGCUUUGCUUGGUGUUGGGUGUUUGUCCUGUAUUGGACUCGCCUUAAAGUAAUUGGCCGCCGGCGUAUUGGCCUUGGAGCGCAGCACAAUUUGCGCUUUCAGUCAGUAUAUGUUGGCGUCCAUAAGCCUUUCUCACUUUUGACCUCGGAUCAGGUAGGGAUACCCGAUGAACUUAAGC